AAAUGCUGGGCCAGCUCCUCCCAUACACCUACUCAGGCUGUAGCAUCUGACAUGGACAAACAGUGCAUCCAUCAUGUGCCCACCAGGUGUCAAGUGUAAUUACUCUAAGAGAAUGACUGAGCAGAUGCAGAGGCUGUGGGUGAGACGGAAUCGGGAGACUCCAGCGAGUAUCCGGGUCCCAGGAUAACUGGUGCUCGCUCUGCUUCAGAGGCAUCUGUGCCGCACCUGUGGACAGAACGGCACCCCACCUGCUACCAAGCGUCAGCUGUUGGUUUUUCCAAGGAAUCUCCAGACCUACGCCACAGCCCGUCUCCCACGUUGGCCAGGUUCAUGAGAAAAGCCUCCCUGCAAGCUUUGCUCACCCGCAUUUAGUUUCUGAGCACUAAAGAGCUCCUGGACUGGUCUAAGGUUGAUCAGGUACCUGGAACCUUUUCUGACCCUGAUGCUGCUUGGCCUGCCUCUUUAAACAUUGUCAAUCCCACACCGACCUGAGAGCCCAGCAGCUAUUGGCUAACUGCAAAGCACACAGUCAGUUUAUUAUUAUACCUCCCCCCCAACUUCCACUGAAACCAAACACUGAGCUCAUAUCUGAAGGCGACUACUGAACCCCUUCAUUCUUCUCUAAGAGCCUGCAAAGUCUCUGAAUCAGAUUGAUAUAGAUUGAAUUCUUACCGUUCCUAUUGUGAGCAACCAUUUGUAUUCAUGAAAUCAAAGUAUUUACCUGCGAGAUGAGCAUCUGAUGUGUAUUGGUACAUAUAUUGGUAGCUGAAAUGUUGAUAACAUGAAGCAAUAAGACCCGACUGCAUUCACGUCUCCCCUUUCAUCUGAGAAUCUAAAAGCCCCUCAAUCUGUAAGGAGAUAAUCAAUCCUCUGCUGCUGUGACGCCUGAUGCAGGCGGCUAAAGAUGCUUUAAUUUUGCUUAGACAUUUAAGGAAUGUGGUCUUGACAAUGAUUUUAAUACUUUUUGCUCCAAUUGCAAUGACAGGAAUGUAGUAUUUUCUAUCAUUCAGUCAACAUCAAUUGCCGUUUUGCCGCAUGUAAUGAUUUCCUUUAGGAGUAAGGGAGAUGGAUUAUGUAUUUAGAAUGAAAAGAUUUGGAAACCUUGUGGGUUUAGUGAAACCUUUGGUGAAUCAAAAUUUUUAAUCAAUGUGAAUAUUUUUGCCCAAUGGACGGUUCAAACAGUCAAAGUCAAACAAUUUAACUCCUCUUACUGCUAUUAGAAAACAGUUUUGUUCGACAAAACGAGUAGAAUGUGCAUGGCAAAAUUCUAAAGAUCAGACCUUUUAUUGCUAA